rnacentral:rRNA from 1 species
AUUGAACGCUGGCGGCAGGCCUAACACAUGCAAGUCGAACGCGUGGCGGAAGGGUGAGUAAUGUCUGGGAAACUGCCCGAUGGAGGGGGAUAACUACUGGAAACGGUAGCUAAUACCGCAUACCAUCGGAUGUGCCCAGAUGGUAUUAGCUAGUAGGUGGGGGAACGGCUCACCUAGGCGACGCUCCCUAGCUGGUCUGAGCGGAUGACCAGCCACACUGGAACUGAGACACGGUCCAGACUCCUACGGGAGGCAGCAGGGGGGAAUAUUGCACAAUGGGCGCAAGCCUGAUGCAGCCAUGCCGCGUGUAUGAAGAAGGCCUUCGGGUUGUAAAGUACUUUCAGCGAGGAGGCGUUACUCGCAGAAGAAGCACCGGCUAACUCCGUGCCAGCAGCCGCGGUAAUUC